rnacentral:rRNA from 1 species
AUUGAACGCUGGCGGCAUGCCUUACACAUGCAAGUCGAACGGCAGCACGGGAGCAAUCCUGGUGGCGAGUGGCGAACGGGUGAGUAAUAUAUCGGAACGUGCCCAGUAGUGGGGGAUAGCCCGGCGAAAGCCGGGUUAAUACCGCAUACGAACUGAGGGUGAAAGCGGGGGAUCGGAAGGCCUCGCGCGAUUGGAGCGGCCGAUAUCAGAUUAGCUUGUUGGUGGGGUAAAAGCCGACCAAGGCGACGAUCUGUAGCUGGUCUGAGAGGACGACCAGCCACACUGGGACUGAGACACGGCCCAGACUCCUACGGGAGGCAGCAGUGGGGAAUUUUGGACAAUGGGCGCAAGCCUGAUCCAGCCAUGCCGCGUGCGGGAAGAAGGCCUUCGGGUUGUAAACCGCUUUUGUCAGGGAAGAAACGGCUCUUGAUAAUACCGAGAGCUAAUGACGGUACCUGAAGAAUAAGCACCGGCUAACUACGUGCCAGCAGCCGCAGUAA